GGGAGAGUGGGCGCACCCCAAAACCAGGGGGCACACCCAGCAGAAAGGGGUUAGUGCAGAAAGGGGUGCGCAUCCCCGAAUCAAUUUGGGGGGUUGCACCCCCUGGUCAGCGUGUGGGGAGAAACCCCCUAGGUCGUUUGGGGGGCUAUACCCCAGUUGGUGUGUGGGUCGUACAGCCCAACCAAGUUUGGGGGGUGGGCUGCACCCAGUGUGUGGGGCACACACCCUAGUCAGUUGGGGGGCUGCACCCUGAGUCCAUGUGUGGGGCUGUACCCCAGUGCGUGGGGCACACAGCGGUCAGUGUGGGGCUGUUCCCCACUCAGUGUGUGGGGCACACCCCACGUCCAUGUGUGGGGCUGUACCCCAGUGCGUGGGGCACACAGCGGUCAGUGUGGGGCUGUUCCCCACUCAGUGUGUGGGGCACACCCCACGUCCAUGUGUGGGGCUGUACCCCAGUGCGUGGGGCACACAGCGGUCAGUGUGGGGCUGUUCCCCACUCAGUGUGUGGGGCACACCCCACGUCCAUGUGUGGGGCUGUACCCCAGUGCGUGGGGCACACAGCGGUCAGUGUGGGGCUGUUCCCCACUCAGUGUGUGGGGCACACCCCACGUCCAUGUGUGGGGCUGUACCCCAGUGCGUGGGGCACACAGCGGUCAGUGUGGGGCUGUUCCCCACUCAGUGUGUGGGGCACACCCCACGUCCAUGUGUGGGGCUGUACCCCAGUGCGUGGGGCACACAGCGGUCAGUGUGGGGCUGUUCCCCACUCAGUGUGUGGGGCACACCCCACGUCCAUGUGUGGGGCUGUACCCCAGUGCGUGGGGCACACAGCGGUCAGUGUGGGGCUGUUCCCCACUCAGUGUGUGGGGCACACCCCACGUCCAUGUGUGGGGCUGUACCCCAGUGCGUGGGGCACACAGCGGUCAGUGUGGGGCUGUUCCCCACUCAGUGUGUGGGGCACACCCCACGUCCAUGUGUGGGGCUGUACCCCAGUGCGUGGGGCACACAGCGGUCAGUGUGGGGCUGUUCCCCACUCAGUGUGUGGGGCACACCCCACGUCCAUGUGUGGGGCUGUACCCCAGUGCGUGGGGCACACAGCGGUCAGUGUGGGGCUGUUCCCCACUCAGUGUGUGGGGCACACCCCACGUCCAUGUGUGGGGCUGUACCCCAGUGCGUGGGGCACACAGCGGUCAGUGUGGGGCUGUUCCCCACUCAGUGUGUGGGGCACACCCCACGUCCAUGUGUGGGGCUGUACCCCAGUGCGUGGGGCACACAGCGGUCAGUGUGGGGCUGUUCCCCACUCAGUGUGUGGGGCACACCCCACGUCCAUGUGUGGGGCUGUACCCCAGUGCGUGGGGCACACAGCGGUCAGUGUGGGGCUGUUCCCCACUCAG
rnacentral:lncRNA from 1 species